CCGUGAAACGACUCCACGCCGAUGAUAGUGCGGAUUACCCGUGUGAAAGUAGGUAAUCGUCAGGC
rnacentral:rRNA from 1 species